CUGAAACCGUGUACGUACAAGCAGUGGGAGCCUCUUUAUGGGGUGACUGCGUACCUUUUGUAUAAUGGGUCAGCGACUUAUAUUCUGUAGCAAGGUUAACCGAAUAGGGGAGCCGAAGGGAAACCGAGUCUUAACUGGGCGUUAAGUUGCAGGGUAUAGACCCGAAACCCGGUGAUCUAGCCAUGGGCAGGUUGAAGGUUGGGUAACACUAACUGGAGGACCGAACCGACUAAUGUUGAAAAAUUAGCGGAUGACUUGUGGCUGGGGGUGAAAGGCCAAUCAAACCGGGAGAUAGCUGGUUCUCCCCGAAAGCUAUUUAGGUAGCGCCUCGUGAAUUCAUCUCCGGGGGUAGAGCACUGUUUCGGCAAGGGGGUCAUCCCGACUUACCAACCCGAUGCAAACUGCGAAUACCGGAGAAUGUUAUUACGGGA
rnacentral:rRNA from 1 species